GUUAUUUUGUUGUUGCCGUCGUCCCGCCGCCUCCGCCUUCGCCGCCCCGCCCCCUUUUCGACUGUCUGUCUGCGUGUGAGCGUGUGUUGGUGUGUUGUGUCUGUGUCGCGCAUGUGACCGCCUCAGCUGCUGAAACUUCAAAACAAAUAUUGGAAAAUUCCGAAUAAAAGAGGUGUGCCAGUAAGCCGAGAGAACCGAAUGCAGAUUGAAAGCUAAAGUUCGAGGAAGCCAGCGGGAACCAAAACAAGGAAGCGAGCUCCUGUCCGUGUGAAGGACCUCCUGGGUCUGUGUGCGUGUGCGUGUGUGUGUGGGUGCGGCGACACCACUACCACUACCGCUAUCACUACCACUAAAGCAGCAUCGGCAGCAGCGGGCGAAAUACUUUUUGUGCCAAGGACUCGCCCUUUGUCUAUCUAUCCCACAUCCCUUGCACUCGUCGCGGAUUUUAGGAGGAACAGAUGGAGGAGGAAGCGCAGGAAUGAGGCGAUGUGAAGCAAAAGGACAACGAGGACAGCAAGGAGCACAACAAAGGCAAAACCGGAAGAAGGCCACCAAAUUGAAGAACACACACAUUUGAAGAAUUUUAAUCGAAAACUGCCAAGAAACAAGUAUAUUUACAAAUAUAUUUAUAUACCUUGUAAGAAACAAAACGAUCGUACAUUAAUAGUUCUAAAAAUAUAUAGAUACAUAUAUAGAGAAAUAUGUUAUAUAUUUACUAUGAAAUCGAGGAGCAUGGAAGCGAUACCCAGAAUAAUAAUCGAUGUAAAUAAAUGCUGCCAAUUCGAUAACACUGCGAAUUAAGAACUGCAACUGAGAUGCAUAGAACGCACAACAACAAUCCCAGAAAUACCACGAAUCCGCAAUCCAUGAAGAGAAAGUUCACUUUUCCCGCGACAGCUGCGCCUGCGCCUUAAAAACUAGACAUAAAUAUAUAUAAAUAUAUAUAUAUAAUAGUAUCGAUCUUGGAACUAUCAAAUUGGAAGGAUUGGAGCCGCCAGAGCAGAGGAUUAUA
rnacentral:sRNA from 1 species